AAGAGGUCUGAGGAUUUUAUCUUCAGUUGUUCGAUUUAGCAGGUCUAUAGGUUCAUACACCUCUU
rnacentral:tRNA from 1 species